rnacentral:misc_RNA from 1 species
GAUUUAACAGAAAUAAUCUUACCUGUUCUGUAGUUAACAAGUCUAUUGGAAGGGCGCCUGUCGACAUUGUGUUAGUAUAAACUGAAGUGUAAACAGGCGGGAAAGCAUCUGUAUCUGGGACAAGUUCUACAGCAGACCGUUGUCCGACUGUUUCUGGCUGUCCGACUGUGAAUGCGGGGUCACGAGCGUGGAGUAUGCAGUCUGGCUUGUUCAAGACAGAGGCAAACAUGAGCCCCAUACGUCGAUGGGCGGUCACCCAGUUAAACACACCCGACUUGAUGUCCCGCUAUCCUUGCGGUGACUCCAACAAGCGAAUCCACACAAGUGUUUCUACGGUAGCCAAUAGGACAGAGAAACCCGAGGAAGAACCCAGAGAAAGACUACCCGGGAAACAUUCCAGGGACGGGCUUUCCGCUUCAGAGAGCGCCGGAAGUACGGAUAGCGAGGGGACGAAAUGUCUUGGGGAUAUCGGCAGACCGGAGACGAUGAAGAGCAGGAGGGGACAACUUGGUGGAAGCCGCAGGAAGUGCUAGCUGUCGUGGAAGAGGAUGCUUCGGAGGACGAGUGGGACGAAAAGAUCAAAGAAGAGAAAACGACUGACACGGUCCAGCGAUGGAGGUUCGAUGAAAACGACCAAGACGACGACUAUGGCACCGACAAUGAAAGUUUGAGGUCGGACCACUCAGAAGACAGUGGGCUACACGGCUGGAGGCUCAAAGCGCAGGAGAUUGGGAGGGGCUUGAACAGUGAAGAUGCUUGGACGGUGAAGACUGACCUCCCAACCCACGAUGUGACAAAGACCUGGGGGCUCAACCCCUUUGCAGCCGAAAGUGAUGUUAGAUGGAAGGAUCCCAGCCCGAGAUGCUCUGACCAACCCUUUGGAAAUGCCGGCGAUCCUUGGGUGGCUUACCCAGAGGCAACAUACGACGACAAAACAAGCAGAUCCAGCUCCGAGGAAGAAAGGAAGGGAUAUGAGCGGGGGUCGAGAUGGGAACCUCAGCAGGUCGACGUGGUAGAUGACAAGGGAGAGCAGCGGAGGCGCAUGGAUGCGUGGGUGUCGAGCAUCCACACCUACUGCAGCAGCACCAGCGACAGCUUCGAUUUUCCGCCACUUUCUUUUCAAGAUAAUUUUCCUCAACGGCGAGAGCAGGAUGCAGACGAGAGAACAUUUUAUGGAUUUCCUCACCAGGACCUGGAGUGUGAAGAACACGAGGUGCAGAUGGUCCUCAACGACAAGGACGAACGGUUUGGAUUUUCUGUCAUCGGUGGAUACGACGAGGGUAUCAUACCCCGAGUAAAUGAAAUCACUCUCAGCUCACCGGCAGACCGCGCCGAGCUGGAGGUGGGAGACGAGAUUGUGGAGGUGAACGGCAAGAGGGUGGAACAUUGUUCUCACGCCGAGAUCAUCGCCCACAUCCAUCAGUGCAUUCGUUCCAAGGCCGUUCGCCUUCGAGUUAAAAGACUUAAGGACGGCGAGAAAGUGCCUGAAAUAGCCAAAGUUCAUGAUGCAUACAUCAUUGCUGUUGAAGAGAAUGCACGGAAGAAAUUGGAGGACUUGUCUAUCAAUCACAAGGUGGUGCCAGUUGAUAUGACCAGACCCCCUUCAUACAGAGAAGAAGGUGUAACAUCUUUUCGUGCAGAACCUUGCGAGAGCAAAAAGAAAGAGACGCUUGUGCAGCAGGUAGAACAGGAAGAAGAGAUUCAUUUGGUGGAUCCAAUCCCUGAGAACUCCUUGUCAAUGCCUGUAGCAGAAAAACAGCGCAAGGCCAUUCCUUGGGGGAGCAGUGGUGGUAGUGUCAAUGGUAGCAUUGAAGGAAUGGAAAUGAAUGGAGUCAUGGAAAAGGAGGGCCCACGUAAGGGCAAGGGAGGAAAGGGCAAAAAAGAAGGCAGAGUGAACAAAGCUCACAGCAAUCCAGACACCCUGCUGAUUGAGGAUUUGGUGGGGCGGGGAAAACUUUCAUCCAAUGGGAAGGCCUCAAGCCAUGACUCUCUGAACCACUCCUCCCACGAGGUCAUCCUGUAUGGUCCCGACUCCAACACCGACUUCCAGCAUAGUGGCCAGAACUCUUUUGAAUACAGUGACAGCGGUCCUCAUAGAGAGAUGGCCAUUGACUGCCCAGACAGUUUUAUUGGUGCUAUCAAGACACCUCCAAAGUACCCCCCACCUUCACAGACUUCUUCCAAUACUGCUGUCCCAUCCAGUGGUCCCCGUGUUCCCCCCACCACUCCUAACAAAAUGUCGGACUCUAUGAAAGACAAAACAAAGACAGACAACACACUGUCAGAUGCUGCUGCUUUGGUGACAGGCUCCCAACACAAACCCACUGUUGAACAACUGGAGCGUCUUCGCAAGCACCAGGAGGACCUGCGCAAGCGACGUGAGGAAGAGAGCCGGCAGCAGCAAGAACAAGAAUUCUUGCGCGUGUCUCUUAGAGGAUCCAAGAAGUUGCAGGCUCUAGAGAACCGUAAGAUGGCACCAGACACACAGGCACCACCCACAGGCUUUGUCAACACAGCCUACGUUGAUGCAGAGGAUGACUACGAGGCAGCAGAUGAUGUUGAUGGUGUACCAUUGUCCCAAGUGCAGCCCAGGGAGCGUUACCUAAAGAAGAAUGCAGGUAUAGAAGAUCUUUUGUCAACCCUGCAUCACAUCCGCAACCGUCUCAACACUGGUGACAACACCAGUAGCUCCGCGGGCGGCCAUCAAGUUACAUUUCUCAAGACCCUUUUCCACAAUCCUCAGUUUCAACAAGCAGUGAUCAUGCAUCAGAAGAUGGUCGAUAUUACCUCUCGAUCCCCUCAUCCCCGCCCCGUGAGGACUGAUGCUCGUGAACUGUUCAUGGAAGUGCGUUCAGCAUCUCCUUCAAAAAGCAAUGAACCAGCCAUGAAGGAGCUGAUCCAGCUUUUGAGCAAGCCACACAUGAAGAACCUGUUGAAGGCCCAUGAUGAAGUGGCCGAGCGAGAGAGCCAGCCCAUCUUGCACAGCCAGGACAGUGAGCUGGACUACCCACUCCUGCAACAUGGCGAAGACAGUGUGAAGAUCAUUCAUCUGGAGAAAACCAACGAGCACUUGGGAGCCACUGUAAAAAAUGAAGGAGACUCUGUUAUUGUGGCACGCAUUGUCACAGGAGGUGCUGCAGAAAAAAGUGGGCUGCUACAUGAAGGAGAUGAGAUCCUGGAAGUCAAUGGAAUAGACAUGCGUGGCAAGAAUGUCAAUGAAGUGUCUGAAAUUUUGGCAAACAUGUCAGGAACUAUCACUUUUAUGAUCAUUCCUGGGCAUUGUUGUGUGGAACCACCACCCUCAUCUUCUGACGCAGUUAUGCACUUACGUGCAAUGUUUAACUAUGAUCCUGAGGAAGAUCCCUAUAUUCCUUGCCGAGAACUAGGGAUCUCAUUUCUAAAAGGGGACAUACUGCAUGCCAUCCAGCUCUCUGACCUUAACUGGUGGCAGGCCCACCGUGAGGGUGAAGAGGAGCAGCAUUCAUUGGCUGGCCUCAUUCCCAGUCGCUCUUUCCAGGAACAACGGGAGACUGUGCGUCGACAGCUGCAGGCAGAGAGUAAAGAGAAUAAAAAGCGCAAUCGAGUCUGUGCAUGUGGAAGGAAAGAGAGAAAAAAGAAGAAAAAGAAGAAGUCUUUGUAUAGUGCAGGUGUUAGUGAAGAAGCUGAAGAGAUCCUGACAUAUGAAGAGGUGACCAGGUACUAUCCGCAGCCAAAUCAUAAACGGCCCAUAGUGUUGAUUGGACCUCCUGAUGUUGGUCGCCAGGAGCUUCGGAAUCGUUUGAUGCAGUGGGACUGUGACAGAUUUGCCUUUGCUGUCCCACACACCAGUCGUGCCCCAGAACCUGGAGAGCAGCCUGGGAAGGAAUACCAUUUCAUCACACGCUCAGUAUUUGAGGCCGACAUUUUGAGUGGCAAGUUUUUAGAGUAUGGGGAAUAUCAGAACAACCUCUAUGGCACCAGCUUUCAGGCUGUGAGGCAGGUCAUCAAUGAGGGCAAGCAGUGCAUCUUGAAUCUAGAGCCAGAGUCAUUGAAAGUGUUGCGGAACACAGACCUCAAGCCAUAUGCAGUGUUCAUCUGUCCACCAAACUUAGAGAAACUUCAGCAGCUACAUCUGGAUCUUGGGAAACAUCGGCCGACGGAUGAGAAGCUGAAAGAAAUCAUAGAGAAGGGAAGAGAGAUGGAAGAAAUGUACGGUCAUCUCUUUGAUGUCAUCAUUGUUAACAUGGACAUUGAACGCACAUUUGAGGAACUGAAACAGGAAAUCUUUCGUAUUGACAACGAACCGCAAUGGGUGCCUUUACAUUGGCUUGACAACAGUAUCAUGUAAAAUGCCAGGUCUUUCAUUGUGAUCAUGAAAAUGGGCUGGGUUGCCCAUUUAGCAGCAUGAGAGAAGAUUUGAAAGUCUUCUGUUCAUAAUGUGGAAACUAAAAUUAUGAAGGGGCCAGUUCACAGUCAUGCCACAUGUGUCUCCAUUUAUCUGAUCACCACUUGGUAACUGCUUCUUAUAACCAGUGUUGUAAGUACAAGAUGAUGCAAACUUCUGAAUAAUUAAAUCAAAAUAGAGCCGUAUAAUCAGGAGCUACCAGUUUUCAUCAGGUCAGGACUGUGUGUAAUUGUUGGCAUCUGCAGAAAUGGAUCAUUUUCAGUUGCAAGUUUUUCAUUUGGAGUGUUGCCUCUUGGAUCUACUGUUUUAUUCCAGUGGAUGUUUCGCCAACUGAAUAUUCAUUGGCACAGCGAUCUACAUAUUUUACACAAGCACUGUGUCGCAAUAUUUGAGCACACAGGAAGUGUAGCAAUCUGUGUUGUGUUUUGUGAUGGUAUUUGUAGAAAUUAUUAAAAUUUUAAAAAAACUUAAGUAUCAUGUUAUCUAAAGGGGAAAACAGUUAUCUGCAGCGGCAUGAAUCAGGAGGAACACAUCUAGCAAGGAAGUGAGACCUAAAGAAAAAAAAAAAGCAAAUAAUAUGGAAGGUCUUCUGCGCUGGGCUUCCUCAGUGGCUGCAUUCAAACGAACAGAUGAGCCACUGUCACUAUAAAGUAGCCUUUAUUUAUGUAACCAAGAAUGCUUCCAUUGAAAAUUUUAUUAUUUUGCAUAAAAAUUCCAUGCUCCCAAUUUCUUUCAUGAAUUCAUUCCAUGGGAUACUUUCUAUGUAUGCAGCAACAGUUACUGAUGUUUUCAUUGCAUGCAAAGUUUACAACACAUGCUUUCACAGCAUGUGCCGUUCUGUUCUUUCCUCUGCUGGGGAGUUUGUUUUUAAUUUGCUCCUCUGUUUUUAUUUUUUAAAUUCUGCUCUCUUAUUAUAUAAAUAAACAGAUUUUUAAAGAUAAAAGCAAGACAUAAUUUGAUUAAAAGUUGGCUGCAUGGAACAGGAAGCACUGCAAAAGAAUUUUUGGAAAGUUGGAAAAAUUGUUUAAGCAGCAUUUUAGCCACAGUAGAUUGACCCAUACAAAUGUAGCUUCAUUGUCGUAGCCUUAUAUUUUACUCUUCAUUUAAUUUCUUGAACCAUCCUAGGCCUUGAGGUACACAUUUCCCUAUACAAGACUAUGUGUGCUUGGCAAGACCAGGACAUAUUCAAGCCAUAGCAGUGUACAGAUUUUUCCCAAGGCCAUUUUAAAGAGAAAGUUUAAAAUAAAUAUGCCCACAUUAUAUGCACAAAUUAACACCGUGAACACUUGAAAUAGCAGUUUAUUGGCUUUGUAUUUGUAACUGUGCACAGCAAUUUUUAUAUUGAGAGGUUGUGCUUUAUUUAGAACUCGCAUUUUUUGUUCAUAGAUCAUUCUGUUAUCUCUAAUGUACAAAAAUUGACAGCCUUUUUAGGGUCUGUGACUGUUGCAUAACUGCUGUGGCAUUUCUUUGCUAUUUAACUGAAACAAAUCACUUGAUAUUUAGCAUUUGUUUCUUCUUUUUUAAAAAAUUCUGAAAGUCAUAUUGGUCGAAACAGCAGAAUUGGAAAUGCUGAAUAGCCUAUUGAAUUAACUUUUCCAGAAUACUUUGCUUUAAACUAAACAAAAAAACGACAUUCUCACCUGAAACUAUGUGAGUUUGUGCAGUGUCCCAGUGUUAACACUCAGAAAAUGUCAAGCAGCCAUGAUAAAUUAGCUUGUACCUGGUCAGCAUGCAUUAAAAAGAGAGUGCAGAGAACAUUUUGUCACGCUGACAUUACUUUGCAAAGUAGACACAGUUCAGUUAUUUGGGUGUGGAAUCAGAAGUCAGAUUAAUGUGAUAGACUUAAUGAUUUGUGUAUGUGGAUGUGCAUAUAUAUCAGAAAUAUUAGAGGUUGUGUAUGUUUGAAUGCACAUGUGCAAGGAUGAGAUUGAAAUGGCACUUCUUUACACAAGUGAUAUUAUUAGUAUGUACCAGAGAUGUGUGUAUUUUGGUUAAAAGCAAAAUCUCUUCAAAGCCCUACUCUUCAUAAUUUUUGGUUGCAUUUUAAAUGGUGUGAUACUUUAUUGUACAAAAAAACUUUUUUUCCCUUCUGUUAAAUUUGUCAAUUCAGUGGCAAAAUUAUGUUUGUGAAAUGUGCAUCCUUUUAUUGGGUAAAUCUUUCCAGGUUUCUCAAUAUUUUUGUAUGCACUGAAGACUGAUUGGUUGUGAAUGGUGGCUCUGUUGGUAUUUUUUCUUUAAAUUGUAGUGGGAUUUUUCCUGCAUCUUUUCAUGUGUACCUAGCUGAUAUCUCUCAUAAUCAAACAGCUGUGUUGCUGUUUGGUUAUGGUGGACUUUUUACAGUGUGCUAUUGAUGUUGCUUAUGCUUUAAACAAAGGACUGUCAUUCAUUUUGUUGUUUCAUUUCUAUUUCAGCUUUUGUGGCUGGAUUCUGUUAGCUACAUUAGAGGGACUUAAUUUUAAAAUAAAAAUACUAUUAACACUGCACAGUGGGACUGACAUGUUGAAAAUGCUCUCAGAGGGGAUUUGUUUUAAUAUAAGAACACUAACUAUUAGCACAGCACAGAAUGCCUGACAUACUAAAUGAAGGUUGUUAAUUGACAUGUCCACUUUACAGGUUGGAAAACAUUAAAAAAAGAAAUUGGAUUGUUUGGAGAGGGGUGGGUGUGGGAUAGUUUUUCCUCUUCAAAAUGUACUGACAUAACCAGACAUUAAGCUUUUUCAUUUAUUCAUGGCUCAUGAUAAAGAUGGUAACCUGGAAAUGUGCCAAGAAAACAUUUGAUUAAUUUGCAAUAAAGUUACAAGGUGGCAGGUGUUUAAAAGAAUGGAGUUGAACUCAUUAUGUCCGAGGGCAGGCAGUGUUUGCUGCUAGAAGAACAGUGGAAAGGGAGAUGAAAGGAAAGGGCUGGACAUGGGGUCACCUAGAGCGGGUUUCAGUCGAUCGACAUCGGUGGCGGACUCUGGUUGAGGCCUUAUGUGCAACCUGAUGCACGAAGAGGAUUAGAUAGUGUUUGCUGCCUCCUUCAUCUGAUCACCUGCACACAUUAGAUUUAGCAGCUUACUGGCAUCAUCUUCAUCUAAAUAAUGCUGCUGAUAACCACAGAAUAGGACUUUAGGGUUGUCCAUGUGUAAAAAUGGUGUUU